UACGUAGGGUGCAAGCGUUAAUCGGAAUUACUGGGCGUAAAGCGCGCGCAGGCGGUUGUGCAAGACAGAUGUGAAAUCCCCGGGCUUAACCUGGGAAUUGCAUUUGUGACUGCACGGCUAGAGUGUGUCAGAGGGGGGUAGAAUUCCACGUGUAGCAGUGAAAUGCGUAGAUAUCUGGAGGAACACCGGUGGCGAAGGCGGCAUCCUGGACCAAUUCUGACGCUGAGGAGCGAAAGCCAGGGGAGCAAACGGG
rnacentral:rRNA from 1 species